rnacentral:lncRNA from 1 species
GAGAGCUCACAGCCAAUUUCAUGAGACGGUGCUACAUUAUCGUGCCUUCUUGCAUGAGGAAUUCAAGGCCACAUGCGGUUUCGUCACUUGUCAAAGGUUAGUGUUGCUGAGGUUAGAACUGGGUCCCACUUUGAUCUGAUUCCAAAGCCUGAUCCCUUAACUAGUGUGUGGAGCUGACUGCAGGGAGACUGCUACACCCAGGAAGAGCUGCAGCUGUCUCAGUGGCAGCGUGGAACCAAGGUCUACAGUGGCUGCUGAGGUCAGACUUGAAGAAAUGACUCACAUGCAAGGCUGAUCUACAUAAGUAGCCUGUGCUAAGACUGCCAUCUGGUAGAACAAUCUACAUCACACGACUCCACGUUUCCUGUUACCCAAGGGACAACACCCUUGUUCUUCCACACUCAUCUUCACGGUCCUCACCUCUUGCUGACUAAAUCAAGUGUUGCUGAAAUCCCUUCCCAGGAGGAGACAGAAAAAAACAUGGACCCUUCCUUCGGAGGUUCCCAACAAUAAAUCGAGUCAACCCAAGUUUACUCUAGGAAAUCAGUGAAUUAUUGGACUUCCUUACCAAGAAUAGGUAUUAUGGAUGGAGCUGUCAGUCAGUUCUAGAGAAGAGGUCUUCACUGUGCACUGUGAGAUGGUAGCACCUCACCAAGUCAGGAGACCAAAAAAAGUCCCAUGGAGAACAACUGGGUAAAGAUGAUAUCACCUGAGUGAAUUUUUCAGCUCAGCCUUAGAGAGGAAUUGCCAGUGCUGAGGAGAGAAGCCAGACAGCCGAGGAUGGGGGUGUCUAUGCAUACAGGGGCAGCAAUGAACACUCAAAAAUGCAGAGUUGUUUGGGGAAUCUAAGAAGCGGGUGGGCCUGGGGCUGAUGUAACCCAACACGUAAUUGUAGCUAGUUUCACACUUGGAUUGAUGUCUUGAAGGUGAUUAAAAUCUUUAAAAGUUC